CUAAGGUUUCCUGGGGAAGGUAAAUCCGCCCAGGGUUAGCCGGUUCCUUAGUCGAGGCCGAAAGGCGUAGACGAUGGACAGCAGGUCAACAUUCCUGCGCCACAUGCUGGACCGAUGGAGGGACGGCGUCUGGAAGGUGAGGGGACGGAUAGAAAUGUCCCUCGCCGGUGUGGAAGGUAGCUGUAGGCAAAUCCGCAGCGACAUCCGGAAGCAUCGGACAAAGACGCUUAUGUUUCGAUAGUCAUCCGAAGGACGUCCAAGAAAAGCUUCUAGGGUUGAAGGCAUGUGACCGUACUAAAACUGACACAGGUAGGCGGGACGAGAAGUCCUAGGCGCUCGGGAGAACACUGGUUAAGGAACUCUGCAAAAUGGCCCCGUAAGUUCGCGAUAAGGGGUACCCCCUGAUGUUUAUAGCAAUGGGGGGUCACAGUAAAUCGGCAUCAGCAACUGUUUAUCAAAAACACAGGACUCUGCUAACUCGCAAGAGGAUGUAUAGAGUCUGACGCCUGCCCGGUGUUGGUAGGUUAAGGAAGAGGGUUCGCCGCAAGGCAAAGCCCGCGACCGAAGCCCCAAUAAACGGCGGCCGUAACUAUGACGGUCCUAAGGUAGCGAAGUUCCUUGUCGGGUAAGUUCCGACCUGCAUGAAUGGCGUAACGACUGAUGCACUGUCUCAACCAGUGACCCGGUGAAAUUGUAGCCGUGGUGAAGAUGCCACGUACCCGCAGUGUGACGGAAAGACCCCGUGAACCUUCACUGUAGGCUGAUAUUGGUCUCGGACGUGUUCUGUGUAGGAUAGGUGGGAGGCUACGAAGCGGUGACGCUAGUCAUCGUGGAGCCAACGUUGAAAUACCACCCUGAAUUCGUUUGAGUUCUAACUCUGAUUCCCGUGAAUCCGGGCAGAGGACAGUGUCAGUUGGGCAGUUUGACUGGGGCGGUCUCCUCCAAAAGAGUAACGGAGGAGUUCAAAGGUACCCUCAGCCUGGUUGGCAAUCAGGCAUCGAGCGUAAAGGUAGAAGGGUGCUUGACUGCGAGACUCAUAAGUCGAGCAGAUACGAAAGUAGGACUUAGUGAUCCGGCGGUGCUGGAUGGAAAGGCCGUCGCUCAUCAGAUAAAAGGUACUCCGGGGAUAACAGGCUUAUCGCUUCCGAGCGUCCAUAGCGGCGAAGCGGUUUGGCACCUCGAUGUCGGCUCAUCACAUCCUGGGGGUGGAGAAGCUCCCAAGGGUUUGGCUGUUCGCCAAUGAAAGUGGUACGUGAGCUGGGUUCAGACCGUCGUGAGACAGGUCGGUCC
rnacentral:rRNA from 1 species